rnacentral:rRNA from 1 species
CACGUAGGCGGAUCUUUAAGUCAGGGGUGAAAUCCUGGAGCUCAACUCCAGAACUGCCUUUGAUACUGGGGAUCUCGAGUCCGGGAGAGGUGAGUGGAACUGCGAGUGUAGAGGUGAAAUUCGUAGAUAUUCGCAAGAACACCAGUGGCGAAGGCGGCUCACUGGCCCGGUACUGACGCUGAGGUGCGAAAGCGUGGGGAGCAAACA